UACGUAGGGGGCUAGCGUUGUCCGGAUUUAUUGGGCGUAAAGAGCGUGUAGGCGGCCGGGUAAGUCCGGUGUGAAAACUCGAGGCUUAACCUCGAGAUGUCAUCGGAAACUAUUCGGCUAGAGUCCGGAAGAGGAGAGUGGAAUUCCUGGUGUAGCGGUGAAAUGCGCAGAUAUCAGGAAGAACACCCGUGGCGAAAGCGGCUCUCUGGAACGGUACUGACGCUGAGACGCGAAAGCGUGGGGAGCGAACAGG
rnacentral:rRNA from 1 species